UGGGGAAUUUUGGACAAUGGGCGAAAGCCUGAUCCAGCCAUGCCGCGUGAGUGAAGAAGGCCUUCGGGUUGUAAAGCUCUUUUAGUCGGAAAGAAAGAGUUGCAAUGAAUAAUUGUGAUUUAUGACGGUACCGACAGAAAAAGCACCGGCUAACUACGUGCCAGCAGCCGCGGUAAUACGUAGGGUGCGAGCGUUAAUCGGAAUUACUGGGCGUAAAGCGUGCGCAGGCGGUUCGGAAAGAAAGAUGUGAAAUCCCAGGGCUCAACCUUGGAACUGCAUUUUUAACUCCCGAACUAGAGUGUGUCAGAGGGGGGUGGAAUUCCACGUGUAGCAGUGGAAUGCGUAGAUAUGUGGAGGAACACCGAUGGCGAAGGCAGCCCCCUGGGAUAACACUGACGCUCAUGCACGAAAGCGUGGGGAGCAAACA
rnacentral:rRNA from 1 species